rnacentral:rRNA from 1 species
UACAGAGGUCUACAGCGUUGUUCGGAUUCAUUGGGCGUAAAGGGUGCGUAGGCGGCGCGGUAAGUCGGGUGUGAAAUCUUGGAGCUUAACUCCGAAACUGCAUUCGAUACUGCCGGUGCUUUGAGGACUGGAGAGGAGACUGGAAUUUACGGGUGUAGCGGUGAAAUGCGUAGAUAUCGUAAGGAAGACCAGUGGCGGAAGGCGGGUCUCUGGACAGUUCCUGACGCUGAGGCACGGAAGGUCAGGGGAGCAAACGGG